rnacentral:rRNA from 1 species
AAUGAACGCUGGCGGCAGGCCUAACACAUGCAAGUCGAACGGAUCCUUCGGGAUUAGUGGCGGACGGGUGAGUAACGCGUGGGAACAUACCCAAAGGUACGGAAUAGCCUCGGGAAACUGGGAGUAAUACCGUAUGUGCUCGAAAGAGGAAAGAUUUAUCGCCUUUGGAUUGGCCCGCGUUGGAUUAGGUAGUUGGUGGGUAAUGGCCUACCAAGCCGACGAUCCAUAGCUGGUUUGAGAGGAUGAUCAGCCACACUGGGACUGAGACACGGCCCAGACUCCUACGGGAGGCAGCAGCGGGGAAUUUUAGACAAUGGGGGAAACCCUGAUCUAGCCAUGCCGCGUGAUCGAUGAAGGCCUUAGGGUUGUAAAGAUCUUUCAGGUGGGAAGAUAAUGACUGUACCACCAGAAGAAGCCCCGGCUAACUCCGUGCCAGCCGCCGCCGUAA